rnacentral:rRNA from 17 species
GUCAAGUGACUAAGCGUGCACGGUGGAUGCCUAGGCAGUCAGAGGCGAUGAAGGACGUUGUAACCUGCGAUAAGGUUCGGGGAGCUGGUAAACGAGCUUUGAUCCGAACAUUUCCGAAUGGGGAAACCCACCUAUUUAUAGGUAUCUUUUGCGUGAAUACAUAGCGCAUUAGAGGCGAACCCGGGGAACUGAAACAUCUAAGUACCCGGAGGAAAAGAAAUCAACCGAGAUUCCGUAAGUAGCGGCGAGCGAACGCGGAUUAGCCCUUAAGCAAUAUUGUAGUUAGAAGAACACUCUGGAAAGUGUGGCCAUAGUGGGUGAUAGCCCCGUAUUUGAAGGCUUAUAUAUUGUGAAAACGAGUAGGACGGGACACGUGAUAUCCUGUCUGAAUAUGGGGGGACCAUCCUCCAAGGCUAAAUACUCCUGACUGACCGAUAGUGAACCAGUACCGUGAGGGAAAGGCGAAAAGAACCCCUGUGAGGGGAGUGAAAUAGAACCUGAAACCGUAUACGUACAAGCAGUGAGAGCCCACUUGUUGGGUGAUUGCGUACCUUUUGUAUAAUGGGU